AUUGAACGCUGGCGGCAGGCUUAACACAUGCAAGUCGAGCGUGCGGCGGACGGGUGAGUCAUGUAAGGGGACUGCCCGUUAGAGGGGGAUAACUACUGGAUACGGUAGUUAAUAUCGGACACUAUCGGACAACCCAAUUGGGAUUAGCUAGUUGGUGAGGUAACGGCUCACCUAGGCGACGAUCACUAGCUGGUCUGAGAGGAUGAUCCGCCACACUGGGACUGAGACACGGCCCAGACUCCUACGGAGGCAGCAGUGGGGAAUAUUGCACAAUGGGCGCAAGCCUGAUGCAGCCAUGCCGCGUGUAUGAAGAAGGCCCUAGGGUUGUAAAGUACUUUCAGUCGGGAGGCGUUACCGACAGAAGAAGCACCGGCUAACUCCGUGCCAGCAGCCGCGGUAAUUC
rnacentral:rRNA from 1 species